GAUGAACGCUGGCGGCGUGCCUAAUACAUGCAAGUCGAGCGAACAGACGAGGAGCUUGCUCCUCUGACGUUAGCGGCGGACGGGUGAGUAACACGUGGAUAACCUACCUAUAAGACUGGGAUAACUUCGGGAAACCGGAGCUAAUACCGGAUAAUAUAUUGAACCGCAUGGUUCAAUAGUGAAAGACGGUUUUGCUGUCACUUAUAGAUGGAUCCGCGCCGCAUUAGCUAGUUGGUAAGGUAACGGCUUACCAAGGCAACGAUGCGUAGCCGACCUGAGAGGGUGAUCGGCCACACUGGAACUGAGACACGGUCCAGACUCCUACGGGAGGCAGCAGUAGGGAAUCUUCCGCAAUGGGCGAAAGCCUGACGGAGCAAAGCCGCGUGAGUGAUGAAGGUCUUCGGAUCGUAAAACUCUGUUAUUAGGGAAGAACAAAUGUGUAAGUAACUAUGCACGUCUUGACGGUACCUAAUGAGAAAGCCACGGCUAACUACGUG
rnacentral:rRNA from 1 species